rnacentral:rRNA from 1 species
GGAAACCUUGUUACGACUUUUACUUCCUCUAAAUGAUCAAGUUUGAGCAACUUUUCGGCACCAUCACUUCCGUGAGGCCGCGACGGUGCCAAUCCGAAGAUCUCACUAAACCAUUCAAUCGGUAGUAGCGAC